AGAGUUUGAUCCUGGCUCAGAGCGAACGCUGGCGGCGUACUUAACACAUGCAAGUCGAACGAGGAUCAUCAGUGUAGCAAUACAUUGGUGGUCCUAGUGGCGCACGGGUGAGUAACACGUGGGUAACCUGCCCUUGAGCUCGGGAUACCCCCUCGAAAGGGGGGCUAAUACCGGAUACGUUCCUCGGAUCGACAGGUCUGGGGAGGAAAGGUGGCGCAAGCUGCCGCUCUUGGAGGGGCUCGCGGCCUAUCAGCUAGUUGGCGGGGUAACGGCCCACCAAGGCUAUGACGGGUAGCUGGUCUGAGAGGACGACCAGCCACACGGGGACUGAGACACGGCCCCGACUCCUACGGGAGGCAGCAGUGGGGAAUUUUCCGCAAUGGGCGAAAGCCUGACGGAGUGACGCCGCGUGUGGGACGAAGGCCUUCGGGUCGUAAACCACUGUCAGUGGGAAAGAAGGGUGUCGGUGCUAAUACCAUCGGCAUUUGACGGUACCUGCAGAGGAAGCCCCGGCCAACUCUGUGCCAGCAGCCGCGGUAAGACAGAGGGGGCAAGCGUUGCUCGGAAUUACUGGGCGUAAAGGGCGCGUAGGCGGGAUGGCAAGUCGGUCGUGAAAUCCUUCGGCUCAACCGAAGAACGUCGAUCGAUACUGCUGUUCUUGAGGGUUGCAGAGGAGACUGGAAUUCCCGGUGUAGCGGUGAAAUGUGUAGAGAUCGGGAGGAACACCGGUGGCGAAGGCGGGUCUCUGGGCAAUUCCUGACGCUGAGGCGCGAAAGCGUGGGGAGCAAACGGGAUUAGAUACCCUAGUAGUCC
rnacentral:rRNA from 1 species